rnacentral:rRNA from 1 species
CUGCUGCCUCCCGUAGGAGUUUGGGCCGUGUCUCAGUCCCAAUGUGGCCGUCCACCCUCUCAGGCCGGCUACUGAUCGUCGCCUUGGUGGGCCUUUACCCCGCCAACCAGCUAAUCAGACGCGGGUCCAUCUUGCACCACCGGAGUUUUUCACACUGUCCCAUGCAGGACCGUGCGCUUAUGCGGUAUUAGCACCUAUUUCUAAGUGUUAUCCCCCAGUGCAAGGCAGGUUACCCACGCGUUACUCACCCGUCCGCCA